UGCGAGUCAUUGUAGCAAUACAAGGCAGACGGCUCAGUAACGCGUAGUCAAUYUACCCUGUGGACGGGAAUAACCUCGGGAAACUGAGAAUAAUACCCGAUAGAACAUUAUGCCUGGAAUGGUUUAUGUUUCAAAUGAUUUAUCGCCAUAGGAUGGGACUGCGGCCUAUCAGUUUGUUGGUGAGGUAAUGGCCCACCAAGACUAUUACAGGUACGGGCUCUGAGAGGAGUAGCCCGGAGAUGGGUACUGAGACACGGACCCAGGCCCUAUGGGGCGCAGCAGGCGAGAAAACUUUGCAAUGUGCGAAAGCACGACAAGGUUAAUCCGAGUGGUUUCUGCUAAAGAAACCUUUUGCCAGUCCUAGAAACACUGGUGAAUAAGGGGUGGGCAAGUUCUGGUGUCAGCCGCCGCGGUAAAACCAGCACCUCAAGUGGUCAGGAUGAUUAUUGGGCCUAAAGCAUCCGUAGCUCGUUUUGUAAGUUUUCGGUUAAAUCCAUGCGCUCUACGUAUGGGCUGCCGGGAAUACUGCAUAACUAGGAAGUGGGAGAGGUAGACGGUACUCGGUAGGAAGGGGUAAAAUCCUUUGAUCUAUUGAUGACCACCUGUGGCGAAGGCGGUCUACCAGAACACGUUCGACGGUGAGGGAUGAAAGCUGGGGGAGCAAACCGGAUUAGAUACCCGGGUAGUCCCAGCUGUAAACUAUGCAAACUCAGUGAUGCAUUGGCUUGUGGCCAAUGCAGUGCUGCAGGGAAGCCGUUAAGUUUGCCGCCUGGGAAGUACGUACGCA
rnacentral:rRNA from 1 species